AGCGGCGGACGGGUGAGUAACGCGUGGGUAACCUGCCUCAUACAGGGGGAUAACAGUUGGAAACGGCUGCUAAUACCGCAUAAGCGCACAGUACCGCAUGGUACCGUGUGAAAAACUCCGGUGGUAUGAGAUGGACCCGCGUCUGAUUAGGUAGUUGGUGGGGUAACGACCUACCAAGCCGACGAUCAGUAGCCGACCUGAGAGGGUGACCGGCCACAUUGGGACUGAGACAUGGCCCAA
rnacentral:rRNA from 1 species